CCCUUAGAUGGUCUGGGCGGCACGCGCGCUACAAUGAUGCAUUCAAAAAGUCUUCUGACCUUAGAAGGUUGGGUAUUCUCCAAAGUGCAUCGUGAUGGGAAUAGUUUAUUGCAAUUUUUAAUCUUGAACGAGGAAUUCCUAGUAAGUACAGGUCAUCAACUUGUGUUGAUUACGUCCCUGCCCUUUGUACACACCGCCCGUCGCUCCUACUGAUUGAGUGGUCCGGUGAGGCUUUGGGAUCUGAGCGGAAAGAGCGUUUCGCUGUUUCUGCUCGGAAAACUCAGUCGAACCUUAUCAUUUAGAGGAAGGAGAAGUCGUAACA
rnacentral:rRNA from 1 species